AACGCUAGCUACAGGCUUAACACAUGCAAGUCGAGGGGCAGCAUUUUAGUUUGCUUGCAAACUAAAGAUGGCGACCGGCGCACGGGUGAGUAACACGUAUCCAACCUGCCGAUAACUCGGGGAUAGCCUUUCGAAAGAAAGAUUAAUAUCCGAUGGUAUAUUAAAACCGCAUGGUUUUACUAUUAAAGAAUUUCGGUUAUCGAUGGGGAUGCGUUCCAUUAGUUUGUUGGCGGGGUAACGGCCCACCAAGACUACGAUGGAUAGGGGUUCUGAGAGGAAGGUCCCCCACAUUGGAACUGAGACACGGUCCAAACUCCUACGGGAGGCAGCAGUGAGGAAUAUUGGUCAAUGGACGAGAGUCUGAACCAGCCAAGUAGCGUGAAGGAUGACUGCCCUAUGGGUUGUAAACUUCUUUUAUAUGGGAAUAAAGUAUUCCACGUGUGGGAUUUUGUAUGUACCAUAUGAAUAAGGAUCGGCUAACUCCGUGCCAGCAGCCGCGGUAAUACGGAGGAUCCGAGCGUUAUCCGGAUUUAUUGGGUUUAAAGGGAGCGUAGGUGGAUUGUUAAGUCAGUUGUGAAAGUUUGCGGCUCAACCGUAAAAUUGCAGUUGAAACUGGCAGUCUUGAGUACAGUAGAGGUGGGCGGAAUUCGUGGUGUAGCGGUGAAAUGCUUAGAUAUCACGAAGAACUCCGAUUG
rnacentral:rRNA from 2 species